rnacentral:misc_RNA from 1 species
GAACGCACAUUGCGCCUUUCGGUAUUCCGGAGGGCAUGCCUGUUCGAGAGUCAUUAACAACCAUCUCGAGUCCUUUUAUAGUUAAUAUUCCAGGGCUCGGUUGUGGUGGAUGAGGCGACUUAUACAUUUGAUGAGUAUCCUCCCCACCGAAAUUUAGAGGCGGUCUGUCCCCACGUGUUUGCGGCGUUGUAAAAGCUGUCCAGCCCUUCUCGCUUGAACUGUGGGUGAAAGGCUAGCCAUUUGUGUAACCCCCCAUUUAUCAAAGGUUGACCUCGGAUCAGGUAGGGAUACCCGCUGAACUUAAG